rnacentral:lncRNA from 1 species
CAUCCCUACUCAAAUCUCAAUUCUCAAUCAAUUAAGAUACUUUUCGAUUUUGUUCAUUCUAUAUUCUUUUAAUUUUCUUUAUCAAAUAUUAGAUAGUGAAUAGAAUUUUCAUAAUAUAAUAUUUUUAUAUUAGAUUUCAAUAAGUUUUAUUUCAACUUUCAUAUAUUUUUAAUAUUAAUUUGACUUCAAAUCUUCAACCCAACCCAACCCAAUCCGUAAAUUAUCGGGGUUAGGUUGAACAUAUUUAGGGGUGGGCAAAAAAAGCUGAUUAAUCAAAAAUCGAAUCGAACCGUUCGGUUCGGUUCGAUUUCUUUACAGUUUUUUUACAUCUAAAAAACCAAAAUAGUAAUUUAGUAUAGUAGUAAAAUCAGUCGGUUCGGUUUUUAAUUUUUAAAAAAAAACUGAAAAACCGAACCGAUCACAAGAAAAAACCGAACGCAAAUUGAUUUUUACACAAUCCCUAAUCUAACACAUUCUUGAUUCUUCUCAUCUUCUGAUCUUCACAGACUUCACUCUUCAAAAGUGUCGUCCCCGCUGCUGCUGCUGCUCAUCCUUCACGAACCUUCACCGCUGGAAUCUCGUCCCCGCUGUAGCUGCUGCUGCUGCUGCUCAUCCUUCACGAAUCUGAUUUGCCACCGCUGCUCAUCGCCGACUCUCGUCCCCGCUGCCACUGUCACCUACUAUCAACUGUUGGUGCUGUCACGGUGCUCCCCUGCUGCCAUCUGACUGCUGUUGUGAGCUGCUGCUGGUAACUGCUGUUUUUGCAGAGUUAUUUGACUUGGUAAAUGGUAUAAUAUAAUCUGUGCUAGUUAUGAUUGCAUAUUAACAAAGUUAUUAAUGCUUGAUCAAUUGCGCAAAGUUUCGCAUAAUAAUAAUUAAUUCAUUAAUUAUUUGAUUUUAUUAAGCCAUUCAAUUGCCACGUGUAUUAUUGUUGAUGCUUCCUGGAUGCCCUGAAUCCUGAUGCAUGCACUUGUUCUUAACCAUUAUUUCAAGGAGCUGGCUAAGUUACGGAUUCUGUAACAUACAGAUCCAACUUAGCCAGCUCCUGAUUGGUUAGCUAGCUACCAAACAAAAACAAUUGCAUGCUUUUUCUCCAUAUGCAGAACAGGUG